rnacentral:lncRNA from 1 species
UUCUUAGGAUUGAUGGACUGACAGCAGUUUGGCAAGGCUUCCCUAAGCCUGUAAUAGGGAGCUGUGGACCCAGUCCUGACUUCUCAAGUAGGGGGAAACAGCUCUAUUCCCGGGCCCUUGAGAUUGAGUCUCAAGUUGACAGGAGUUGAGAAAGAAAUGCAUGAAGGAUGGCUGGGCUUACGCAGGACAAAAACCUCUACUGGGGAGGGGCCAGUUUUGUGCCUUGUGCCUACUGCUGAGAGGGAAUUUAGAAACAAAGGAAGAUAAGAAGAAGGCCUAGGGAAACAGCAUAAAGGACUGGAAAAAUUCAGAACAGCAAAGAGAAAAAACUGGGAGAGAGGAAAAGAUGUGAAAAGGCCCUAAUGCUGGAGACAGAAAGGGCCCAGACCUGGGUGAUGGCUGCCUGUGAACCGUGGGAGGUAGAGGCAGGGGCUGGCUGCCUGCAUACGGGCUUCUCUUCUCGAAGCAGCUGAGCGAGCUGGAGUUCUUCCUGCAGCCCUACCUGCCCCCGACACAGCACGCCAAGCUGGACACAUGGCGUUGAGGCUGUAUGACAUGCAGGUCCAGAUCUGGUUCCAAAAGGCGUGCAUGAAGUACAAGAGGCCAGUGAGGCAGGAAUUGUUCGUGGAUUCCCACCCUGGCGGCCCCUCUCCCGGGCUCAAUCCUCUCACCCAGGCUCAAUCCUCUCACUCGCAGCCCCAAGUGGCUCCAUUCC